UACGUAGGUGGCAAGCGUUGUCCGGAUUUACUGGGCGUAAAGAGCGCGCAGGCGGUCGUUCAAGUCACGUGUGAAAGCCCCCGGCUCAACUGGGGAGGGUCACGCGAUACUGAUCGACUCGAAGGCAGGAGAGGGUAGUGGAAUUCCCGGUGUAGUGGUGAAAUGCGUAGAUAUCGGGAGGAACACCAGUGGCGAAGGCGACUACCUGGCCUGUUUCUUGACGCUGAGGCGCGAAAGCUAGGGGAGCAAACGGG
rnacentral:rRNA from 1 species